rnacentral:rRNA from 1 species
CAGCAGCCACGGUAACACGUAGGUGGCAAGCGUUGUCCGGAAUUAUUGGGCGUAAAGCGCGCGCAGGCGGAUAGGUCAGUCUGUCUUAAAAGUUCGGGGCUUAACCCCGUGAUGGGAUGGAAACUGCCAAUCUAGAGUAUCGGAGAGGAAAGUGGAAUUCCUAGUGUAGCGGUGAAAUGCGUAGAUAUUAGGAAGAACACCAGUGGCGAAGGCGACUUUCUGGACGAAAACUGACGCUGAGGCGCGAAAGCCAGGGGAGCGAACGGGAUUAGAUACCCCAGUAGUCCCUGUCUCUUAUACA